rnacentral:rRNA from 1 species
UACGUAGGAUGCAAGCGUUGUCCGGAAUUAUUGGGCGUAAAGAGCUCGUAGGCGGUCUGUCGCGUCUGCUGUGAAAUCUCAGGGCUUAACCCUGAGCUUGCAGUGGGUACGGGCAGACUAGAGUGCGGUAGGGGAGACUGGAAUUCCUGGUGUAGCGGUGAAAUGCGCAGAUAUCAGGAGGAACACCGGUGGCGAAGGCGGGUCUCUGGGCCGUAACUGACGCUGAAGAGCGAAAGCAUGGGGGAGCGAACAGG